rnacentral:rRNA from 1 species
AGCAUGUGGUUUAAUUCGAUGCAACGCGAAGAACCUUACCUGGUCUUGACAUCCACAGAACCUUGUAGAGAUACGAGGGUGCCUUCGGGAACUGUGAGACAGGUGCUGCAUGGCUGUCGUCAGCUCGUGUUGUGAAAUGUUGGGUUAAGUCCCGCAACGAGCGCAACCCUUAUCCUUUGUUGCCAGCGGUCCGGCCGGGAACUCAAAGGAGACUGCCAGUGAUAAACUGGAGGAAGGUGGGGAUGACGUCAAGUCAUCAUGGCCCUUACGACCAGGGCUACACACGUGCUACAAUGGCGCAUACAAAGAGAAGCGACCUCGCGAGAGCAAGCGGACCUCAUAAAGUGCGUCGUAGUCCGGAUUGGAGUCUGCAACUCGACUCCAUGAAGUCGGAAUCGCUAGUAAUCGUGGAUCAGAAUGCCACGGUGAAUACGUUCCCGGGCCUUGUACACACCGCCCGUCACACCAUGGGAGUGGGUUGCAAAAGAAGUAGGUAGCUUAACCUUCGGGAGGGCGCUUACCACUUUGUGAUUCAUGACUGGGGUGAAGUCGUAACAAGGUAACCGUAGGGGAACCUGCGGUUGGAUCACCUCCUUACCUUAAAGAAGC